CAGACGGCUGAGGAAGACGGAGGAACCUACCCUUCAGAGGGGGAUAACUCCGCGAAAGCGGGGCUAAGACCGCGUACGCUCAUUCUGGGGAGAACGGAGUGAGGAAAACCGCGAGGUGCUGAAGGAGGGGCUUCCGGCCCAUCAGGUAGUUGGUGAGGUAACGGCCCACCAAGCCGAUGACGGGUCGCUGGUCUAAGAGGAUGAUCAGCCAGACUGGGACUGAGACACGGCCCAG
rnacentral:rRNA from 1 species